rnacentral:rRNA from 1 species
AGCAGCCGCGGUAAUUCCAGCUCCAAUAGCGUAUAUUAAAGUUGUUGCAGUUAAAAAGCUCGUAGUUGAAUUUCGGGACCAAUUUGUUGGUCGUGCCUCGGUACGUACUGGUAUUAUUGGUUUCUCCCUUCUGAAGAACCUCGAUGCCAUUAAUUUGGUGUCGUGGGGAAUCAGGACUGUUACUUUGAAAAAAUUAGAGUGUUUAAAGCAAGCAUACGCUUGAAUACAUUAGCAUGGAAUAAUGAAAUAGGACGUUUGAUUCUAUUUUGUUGGUUUCUAGGAUCGACGUAAUGAUUAAUAGGGAUAGUUGGGGGCAUUAGUAUUCAAUUGUCAGAGAUGAAAUUCUUGGAUUUAUUGAGACUGACUACUGCGAAAGCAUUUGCCAAGGAUGUUUUCUAUUAAUCAAAGAACGAAAGUUAGGGGAAUCGAAAGACGAUCAGAUACCGUCGUAGUCUUAACCAUAAACUAUGCCGACCUAGGGAUCGGAUGAUGUUAAUUUUUUAAUUGACUCUAUUCGGCG